GAUAUCCAUUGGGCUGGCCUCUACAAACUGCUCACCUGAAUUUCUUUCCCCAACUUAUGUAAUGUCUUUCAAGAUCAAGAGCCAUCAUUACCGUGAAUUUCUGCUGAUGAGCAUGGGGGUUUGGUUGGCGGUAGAGCUUGUAUUAGAGAAACAGAUUGACAAUGAGAAGCUUCCAAAUUUUCAAGAAGUACUGUAACGUUAGGGAAUUUGUUUUAAAUGGAUUAGUAGAUGUACUUAGUAUCAAGCCUUUUUCCUGCUCAUUAGUUUUAGAUCAAAGGCAACAAAAAGAAACCCUUUCUCUCUGUAAGAUUCCUAGCUCAAAAAUGACAUGAAAUUUGCUCUUCUAUCUUUAUUGGAAUGCAGGCAAACAUGCCUUCCUGAGAUUUUCAAUCUAAAAGCUCCUCGGCCAACUAAGUACUCUAAAAGUUCAUUUGGUUAUCAAUUUGCUAGAAAAGAAUGAUAAUGCGUUUACAUUCAUGAAAUAGAUUGUCAAAAUCAAAGUUUGAUGGAACAGAAAAUUAUAGAGAGGCAAUGAUGGACAAAGAUUUUAGGAGUCAAUUUCUAAUUUUUUGUUUCUUCAGGACAACAUACUCCAGUAAAAUCAUUACUAAAUUCUUUUAAAUCUAUCCAAUAUCAGGUGAUAAAUAUUGUAUGGUAAGAUGAUUUUGUUGCAAAAUAUCUGAAGUUUUAAAACGUCUGUUUCCAAGAUGUUGUCUAGUAAUGUAACAGUAAGGACUGAAGAAUUAUCAUUUUGCAAGUUGAUUGCAGGUUGCAAAUAGACAUCUCAAUCAUUAAUUGUACUACCUUAUAAGCUGUGAAUUAUCGAAGUAAAUUGCAAUUUUAGAAAUUUAGUUUGUCAAAGCUAAAAGCUCAACAGAUGUUCAAGAGCAAGUUAUUUGAUGUGGAGUGUGGACAGUUUAACACGAUGCCAAAGCUGAAAAACUUUUUGUAUUUACAUCUACGGUGCAAAAUUCUUUUUUUAAAAUAAAAACUAGCAGUUUACUUUUGCUCAUCUCAUAUGUCUGCUACUUCCAGUUUACUUUUGUAUUUCCAUCAUGACUGCUAUUUCUCUUUAAACUUGAGAGUCUACCGGGAUGGAAAUGCUUGCUCUGAUCUCUUUUAAAUAUAUUUAUCAUCUUGCUCGAAAUUAUCUGAUAAUUGGUAUUCUUAUUAUGUCUCUUAAAUGAUGGGAUUCGACAUAAUUGCUCCAAUAUAUUUAUCAUCUUUCUUUAGCUAUGAUCUCUUGACCUAAAUCCAAUGGUCAAUCGAGUUACUCUCACUGCCUUUGGUUGUGAAAUUGGUGGUCUGAUAAUUUAUAAUACCAACAAUCUUCUUCCAUUACUUAAUGUUGGGUUAAGAUGUUAAGAUGUUUUUCAAGCGGUAGAGAGUUGGUAGACUAUCCUCUACUGAAGUUGUCAUAUGAGAUUUAAGUAAAAUAGUUGUAAUUAGCUCUGCCUGUUGCAUCUUGCAGUCUCAAAGAGAUCGCCUUCAUGGCAAUUCUGAGGCUCUCUUCCUUUCAUGCUUGUGUUGCCACUCAUUGUCAUUAUUGUUAUAGAACUCCUCCUUUUUCAGUGUUUUGAACAAAAACUAAUAUAGUUUCUAUGAUACUUCUGGUACUUGUAGACUGACCAGAAAGAUUUGAUAUCUUCUUGCUGAUUUAGGUUAGAAAAGAACAACAAGAACAAAUAUUGAUUUAGCUUUCUGAAUAAUUGACCAAACAAGAAUGUCAUGCAAUUUCCAGUUUUCUGUUUUGAAGUGACUAGGAGUUUUGUUUUGUUGAUUUUAUAUAUCUGCUUUUGUGGAUGUAAGAUGUGAUUGCUAAAGUGAUCAGCUCCCUAGCUUAUGAUUCUAGAGGGAGUAAAUAGUGGCUCCAAAGUUUAAUGGCCCCUUGAGGGCGCAUUUAUCAAGCUUCUUGAACCAUUUGAUUAGUGAUUUGUUCGAUAAGUCUUGUAAAUGAUGGGUUUCUGUCUCACUUUUCGUUGGUUGUGAUUUUCUAGCCUGAAAGAUUUCAGGAGUUUCCAGAGUGUUGGUCAUCAAAUUGGUUUUUGGUUCUAAGAGUCCAAUGUUUUUUCAGAGCAUCUUCUAACACAAUCAAGUCUAAGCUGCCAGUUUCGAAGCAUAUCGCUGUGGUUAGUCGAGACUGCCAAGCAUGCUUGUUGGCUGCAAUUAUUUCAUCCGCUGUGAUGAUGGCUAUGAAGCUCAUUCUACAACCUAUACUUGUUGAUAUUGCUCAUCUCUUCAUGUGAUUUUACACUCGAAGAUCAACAUUAACCUUGAUAGCUCGCUCUUACUAUCAUUUGUAAUGAAGUCCUGUGAUCCCUUGUUGAACCAGAUCCUGAUUCAGUCAGAUCAGAUGAAAACAUCCGGCAUGGAAUUCCCUUUUGCUCUCUGCCUCGGAUGCCCAAAGCCUGAGAUCUUCCCUGUCUGUCUGGUGCUGUUGAACUGUCCAACCAAUUCAGCAAUUUGUAGACAUGUUAAUGAGGUGCUAUUUUACUUCUUUUGGAACUCAAUUUGCCAUAUCUUCCAUACUGCUUGUAGUUCAAAGCAGCAGAAAGAUGUGGAUUAGCUGAACCCUGAUAGGUGCUUGCAUCCUUCUUGAAGUUGUAUCUUAGCUCUAUAACAGGCAACAUAUUUUUUCUCACUGUUCUGCAGUCGACUACAAGUUGUGCCCAAUGAUACUUUUUCCAUUGCUCUUUGUAUCUGUAAAUCUCAGACAGGACUCGGAGCACAAGAAUCAGUCAGCUUGAGCCCUUCUAUUUAUGUUAAAUCAGAUGAAUUGAGGCACCAAUUUCUAUUCAAGAGAGGAUCCCACUUGGUGGAUGGGAACGUUGGAGAGAUGAAAUUAUGGAAAUCAAUUGAACAGGAUCAAGAAUUAAAUGGGAACAUACAAGGUCAACCUUAGUUCAUCAAACUGAUAUUUUACAUAGCAUCUAUUUGUAAAAUUACUUCUAUGUGAACUUGUCUCUUGGCUUCAAAUCCUAUUCAUUGCUAGCUCAGGAUAUGUAACAA